GACGAACGCUGGCGGCGUGCCUAAUACAUGCAAGUUGAGCGCUGAAGGUUGGUACUUGUACCGACUGGAUGAGCAGCGAACGGGUGAGUAACGCGUGGGGAAUCUGCCUUUGAGCGGGGGACAACAUUUGGAAACGAAUGCUAAUACCGCAUAAAAACUUUAAACACAAGUUUUAAGUCUGAAAGAUGCAAUUGCAUCACUCAAAGAUGAUCCCGCGUUGUAUUAGCUAGUUGGUGAGGUAAAGGCUCACCAAGGCGAUGAUACAUAGCCGACCUGAGAGGGUGAUCGGCCACAUUGGGACUGAGACACGGCCCAAACUCCUACGGGAGGCAGCAGUAGGGAAUCUUCGGCAAUGGACGAAAGUCUGACCGAGCAACGCCGCGUGAGUGAAGAAGGUUUUCGGAUCGUAAAACUCUGUUGGUAGAGAAGAACGUUGGUGAGAGUGGAAAGCUCAUCAAGUGACGGUAACUACCCAGAAAGGGACGGCUAACUACGUG
rnacentral:rRNA from 1 species